rnacentral:rRNA from 1 species
GAUGAACGCUGACAGAAUGCUUAGCACAUGCAGGUCAACUUGAAUUUGGGUUUUUAACUUAGAUUUGGGUGGCGGACGGGUGAGUAACGCGUAAAGAACUUGCCUCACAGCUAGGGACAACAUUUAGAAAUGAAUGCUAAUACCUGAUAUUAUGAUUUUAAGGCAUCUUAGAAUUAUGAAAGCUAUAAGCACUGUGAGAGAGCUUUGCGUCCCAUUAGCUAGUUGGAGAGGUAACAGCUCACCAAAGCGAUGAUGGGUAGCCGGCCUGAGAGGGUGAACGGCCACAAGGGGACUGAGACACGGCCCUUACUCCUACGGGAGGCAGCAGUGGGGAAUAUUGGACAAUGGACCAAGAGUCUGAUCCAGCAAUUCUGUGUGCACGAUGAAGUUUUUCGGAAUGUAAAGUGCUUUCAGUUGGGAAGAAAAAAAUGAUGGUACCAACAGAAGAAGUGACGGCUAAAUACGUGCCAGCAGCCGCGGUAAUACGUAUGUCACAAGCGUUAUCCGGAUUUAUUGGGCGUAAAGCGCGUCUAGGUGGUUAUGUAAGUCUGAUGUGAAAAUGCAGGGCUCAACUCUGUAUUGCGUUGGAAACUGUGUAACUAGAGUACUGGAGAGGUAAGCGGAACUACAAGUGUAGAGGUGAAAUUUGUAGAUAUUUGUAGGAAUGCCGAUGGGGAAGCCAGCUUACUGGACAGAUACUGACGCUGAAGCGCGAAAGCGUGGGUAGCAAACAGG